GUAGGCUGGAACUCGCCUACANGAAGCUGGAAUUGCUAGUAAUCACAGGUCAGCAUACUGUGGUGAAUACGUUCCCGGGCCUUGUACACACCGCCCGUCACACCAUGAGAGUUGAGAAUACCCGAAGCCCAUGUCAAAGUGGUCGAAGGUAGGCUUGAUGAUUGGGGUGAAGUCGUAACAAGGUAAC
rnacentral:rRNA from 1 species